UAUUACAUUUUAAAGCAUUUAGAAGUUAACAAUUAUACAUUAAGCUGAAAGUUCACUUGGAUACCUCUCAUUAUUCUUAAGUAUUAUUCCAAUACUUCUCUAGUGGAAGGAGUGGGAGUUAUCAGUGUUGUAAAUUUAGCAGUGUCUUCUUCUUUCCUAUUGUGCCUUCACUACUCCAACGGGUCAGUCAUUGAGUACUCCAGAUAAUAUUUUCUAGGGAUGAAUCUGUCAUUUUCCAGUGCUCAAGCAGUUCAAAUUCAAAGAUGACUUGUACUCAUCUAGAUGAAUUGAUAAGGACAGGUUACACAAAAGGACGUCAGCUUAAGAACACUUCACGGCAUCAUACCUGUUUCACUGGCCUGAGCUUGGAGACUGAAACCUCAGUUCUAAUUCACCCUGCAGUCUAUCAUGGCUGAACUUGGCCGAUAUUUUUCUAAAGUGCCCAUUUGCAAUGUGGAGGUCUCUUCCCAGCAGAAAGAUGAAGAAACUUCUCUGCAGUACUCCAGUGCAGACACAUCUGUGGAUUUCUGAAUGAUACAUGGAAACUCCAUCUAAAAUCACAGUCUUCAAAAUAAAGUCUAGAUUACUACCUAACUCCAAAUUA